GGUUGUAUGGUGUAGAGGUUAGCACACCGGAUUUUGACAGUGUUAAAUAUUCCGGCGACCCCGGUUCGAGUCCGGGUACGACCU